GGAAAGGUCAUAGCUCAGGGAAGAGCAUCUGCUUUGCAUGCAGAAAGUCCCAGGUUCAAAUCCCGGCCAUCUCCA